UCCGCGCAUGGAUCUAUCGCACGAUAAUUUACCAAGUAAUAAUGUCGAUAAAUCGACGAAAGUCUCGUGGAUAAUAAGUUUCUCUUUUACAACUUCAGAAUUUUCCAUCAGACGAUUUAUAUAAUUUGUAAAAUCCACUUGUCAAAUUUCGUUUGUCUCAUUAUCAAAUUUAUCGAUAUUAUAAAAGGCAGUUUGUUGACGUUAACGAUUAGCAAUUUGGAAAAUUUUGCUAACAAUGUUAAAUUACGCAAGCGUGGCCAGAUACGAAUCUCAGAUCAUUGUCAAUAUCGUUAGUUGCAAUAACGAAAAAACUAAAAGAAGAACUCGCCGAUGACUUGUUGGAUCGAUAUGUCGUGAUCUUGACCUUAAGCAAUCGAUAUCUUAACGCACAGUUACGACACACGAGGCUUUAUUAUUAGCGCUACUCGCAGCCAGAUUGGAUAAGAACGAUAACUCGCGUACAAGUUGUGGUUAUCGAGCAUGAGGUUAUCUUUCCGCGCGUACCACAGAAUCUUCGUCAGGAGAUCGUAAAAAAAUCUGAAAACCUUUUUUACGGAAGCUCACAGAAAUUAUCUUCGAACAAGAGUCAUUAACCUGUAUCCUGCGUGCAGCAAUGAAAUACAAAUGCCUGGUCGCUUCUGCCAGUGUGUCUCUGCGUUUGACAUUCUUUUCGAACUCGAUGGGAUCCACCGUAAGUUCCGCCACGGACGCCAUCGAGAAAGAUUAUUUCGACGCGAAAGUAUGUUUUUAUCGAUGGGAAUUCGUGAAUGAUUUGGUAAAUUGUCGGUGCGAAUUUCGCUACGUGCUUCAAACUAUCGAUCGUCGAAUGUACGUUGCGCGAAGCAAUCGGUGAAUCGGUGGAUUUCAAGAAUUUCUGUUUACCGAGUCCACUUAUCUGAACAUGAAUUUUUGUUAUGCAAACAUAGGUAGAAGGGAGAAUCAGUGAACUUUUAUUACACCAAGCGUUUGUCUUCAGCUGGAUUCAGAUAAACGAGUUGCUCACGAGCUACGCCGAUCAGCUUCAAAAUAGAAAAACAGAUAAAAGUGAUGAUGUUAGGUGAAUUAUUUUUCAAAAUCUACAUAGCUAUCCUAUUAACUGUUUAUAUUAGCUUUGCAACUAAAUAAUUGCGGAUUUUAUCAAUAUCACCUAAUGAUAAAUAUCAAUACCAUUUCUUUGGGAUAAACUUACGGAAGUAUCAUAAAAUCCUUUGCUUCUUACAAUCGAUCGUACAUCGAUCGUGUACCUAGAUAAUGAAAUUGAAAAAUCUGCAAAAGAUAGAGCUGCUCGGUGUAGCUUUUGACAGGCUCGAACGCGGUUUUCUAUUAUCCAUGGAAAUGCGUGGAACCGAAGAUUUUUUGUGCACGCGUAUCUGUGUCAACAUAAAAUGAAAAAGAAGCUAACGAGUCAUUAAUGCCGUCCUCAAGUUGUCACGAAUCGUUUGUAAAGCUAGACGGUUGCUGAUUUACGAAAAGAUAUAUUUGACAAGGACAGAAGUGACUAACACAUUGUUUAUUCUAGAAACACAAGGAGAGAUGCGAUAAAAAAUAUCAUCGUGACCGCCACCGCUGCUAUAACGAUGCCCUUCUUCCUUCUGGAUGUUUUUGUCAACACGUGAAAGUCCUUCCGAGCCUAUAAAAUCACACAAUGAACAGAAAGGUUGAAAUCAUGCACGCCUGGACACCCUUCUUUCUCACCCCUCACUUUGCCAGCUCAUAACUUUGUGAAUUUUGAGUUUUUUUCGACUAAUUUUUUAUGUAAUCUUAAAAUAUCAAUAAACAAAUGAUAAAAAAAUGGAUAGUAAAAAUAUUGUUUGUUUCGUUUGUACAGAGCUUCAAAAACCGCCCGAAAUUUAUGCCACUAGAUCAAAACACCCCCGUAAAAAAGAAUAGAUUAAUUGUUUACGUUAUCUACGAAUUCUUAUACUUAUUACAUCGAU